rnacentral:rRNA from 1 species
UACGUAGGGUGCGAGCGUUAAUCGGAAUUACUGGGCGUAAAGCGUGCGCAGGCGGCUAUUUAAGCUUGCUGUGAAAGCCCCGGGCUUAACCUGGGAACUGCAGUGAGGACUGGAUGGCUGGAGUGUGGCAGAGGGGGGUGGAAUUCCAGCGUGUAGCAGUGAAUGCGUAGAGAAUGUGGAGGAACACCGAUGGCGAAGGCAGCCCCUGG